rnacentral:misc_RNA from 1 species
UGUGGGAGCUGGCUUGCCAGCGAUGGCGUCGUGUCAGGUGAUAUUUCUUUCUCUGACAAACCGCUAUCGCUGGCAAGCCAGCUCCCACA